rnacentral:rRNA from 1 species
ACGGAAGGCAGCAGUGAGGAAUAUAGGUCAAUGGGCGGAAGCCUGAACCAGCCAAGUCGCGUGAAGGAUGAAGGUAUUAUGUAUUGUAAACUUCUUUAGACGUAGAGAAAUAAGGAGGUCGUGACCUCUGAUGCUAGUAUACGUAGAAUAAGGAUCGGCUAACUCCGUGCCAGCAGCCGCGGUAAUACGGAGGAUCCGAGCGUUAUCCGGAUUUAUUGGGUUUAAAGGGUGCGCAGGCGGUCUUUUAAGUCAGUGGUUAGAUCGUGGAGCUCAACUCCAUCCCGCCAUUGAUACUGGAGGACUUGAUUGCGGUCGAGGUUGGCGGAAUUCGCCGUGUAGCGGUGAAAUGCAUAGAUAUGGCGAAGAACUCCGAUUGCGUAGGCAGCUGACCAGGCCGUAAAUGACGCUCAUGCACGAAAGUGCGGGGAUCGAACAGGAUUAGAUACCCUGGUA